rnacentral:tRNA from 1 species
ACGUGGUACGUUUUAGGGCAAUUUUACGCAUAAACAUAUCGGCCUUCUAAGCCGAGGGUUCCGGGUUCGAGCCCCGGCGGGCGUA